GAUUUGGAAAAUUCCGCUAAAGAGGGUGAAAGCCCCGUAGACGAAAUGCUGACAACACCUAGGAGGAUCCUGAGUACGGCGGAACACGAGAAAUUCCGUCGGAAUCCGCGGGGACCAUCCCGCAAGGCUAAAUACUCCCUAGUGACCGAUAGUGAACCAGUACCGUGAGGGAAAGGUGAAAAGCACCCCGGAAGGGGAGUGAAAUAGAUCCUGAAACCGUGUGCCUACAACAAGUCAAAGCUCGUUAAUGAGUGAUGGCGUGCCUUUUGUAGAAUGAACCGGCGAGUUACGAUUGCAUGCGAGGUUAAGUCGAAGAGACGGAGCCGCAGCGAAAGCGAGUCUGAAUAGGGCGAAUGAGUAUGUAGUCGUAGACCCGAAACCAUGUGAUCUACCCAUGUCCAGGUUGAAGGUGCGGUAAAACGCACUGGAGGACCGAACCCACGUACGUUGAAAAGUGCGGGGAUGAGGUGUGGGUAGCGGAGAAAUUCCAAACGAACUUGGAGAUAGCUGGUUCUCUCCGAAAUAGCUUUAGGGCUAGCCUCGGAAUUGAGAAUGAUGGAGGUAGAGCACUGUUUGGACUAGGGGCCCAUCUCGGGUUACCGAAUUCAGAUAAACUCCGAAUGCCAUUCAUUUAUAUCCGGGAGUCAGACUGCGAGUGAUAAGAUCCGUAGUCGAAAGGGAAACAGCCCAGACCACCAGCUAAGGUCCCAAAAUAUAUGUUAAGUGGAAAAGGAUGUGGGGUUGCACAGACAACUAGGAUGUUGGCUUAGAAGCAGCCACCAUUUAAAGAGUGCGUAAUAGCUCACUAGUCGAGUGACCCUGCGCCGAAAAUGUACCGGGGCUAAACAUAUUACCGAAGCUGUGGACUACACCAUUAGGUGUAGUGGUAGGAGAGCGUUCUAAGGGCGUUGAAGGUCGAUCGUGAGGACGGCUGGAGCGCUUAGAAGUGAGAAUGCCGGUAUGAGUAGCGAAAGACAGGUGAGAAUCCUGUCCACCGUAUGACUAAGGUUUCCUGGGGAAGGCUCGUCCGCCCAGGGUUAGUCGGGACCUAAGCCGAGGCCGAUAGGCGUAGGCGAUGGACAACAGGUUGAUAUUC
rnacentral:rRNA from 1 species